rnacentral:rRNA from 1 species
AACGAACGCUGGCGGCAUGCCUAACACAUGCAAGUCGAACGAGACCUUCGGGUCUAGUGGCGCACGGGUGCGUAACGCGUGGGAACCUUCCCUUAGGUUCGGAAUAACUCCCCGAAAGGGGUGCUAAUACCGGAUAAUGUCUUCGGACCAAAGAUUUAUCGCCUUUGGAUGGGCCCGCGUUUGAUUAGCUAGUUGGUAGGGUAAAAGCCUACCAAGGCGACGAUCGAUAGCUGGUCUGAGAGGAUGAUCAGCCACACUGGGACUGAGACACGGCCCAGACUCCUACGGGAGGCAGCAGUGGGGAAUAUUGGACAAUGGGCGAAAGCCUGAUCCAGCAAUGCCGCGUGAGUGAUGAAGGCCUUAGGGUUGUAAAGCUCUUUUACCCGGGAUGAUAAUGACAGUACCGGGAGAAUAAGCUCCGGCUAACUCCGUG